rnacentral:rRNA from 1 species
UACGUAGGUGGCAAGCGUUGUCCGGAAUUAUUGGGCGUAAAGGGCGCGUAGGUGGUUUUUUAAGUCAGACGUGAAAACUCCGGGCUUAACUUGGAGAUUGCGUUUGAUACUGGAAGACUUGAGGACAGGAGAGGAAAGCGGAAUUCCCAGUGUAGCGGUGAAAUGCGUAGAGAUUGGGAAGAACACCAGUGGCGAAGGCGGCUUUCUGGACUGACCCUGACACUGAGGCGCGAAAGCCAGGGGAG